rnacentral:rRNA from 1 species
UACGUAGGGCGCAAGCGUUGUCCGGAAUUAUUGGGCGUAAAGAGCUCGUAGGCGGUCUGUCACGUCUGCUGUGAAAACCCGAGGCUCAACCUCGGGCUUGCAGUGGGUACGGGCAGACUAGAGUGCGGUAGGGGAGACUGGAAUUCCUGGUGUAGCGGUAAAAUGCACAGAUAUCAGGAGGAACACCGAUGGCGAAGGCAGGUCUCUGGGCCGCAACUGACGCUGAGGAGCGAAAGCGUGGGUAGCAAACAGG